UAUAUAUAUAUAUAUAUAUAUAUAUAUAUCUCUCACGUGUGAACCAUGGCGCCUCCACAUCCAGCCCAUUUUUCUGUAUCAUCUGACUCCGUUGCCACCGCAACCUUCACGAAAAACACUCCUCACAUCCGCCUCUACAAACCCAUAAAAGAUCCGAUCCGAUUAACCAUAUGAUAGCUCAAAUUUUCAGUUGAAAAAACAUCCCAAAAAUUACCCUGUUGAUGCAGGACUUUCUCAGUUCAGUCCGACCAUCUCCAACCACCUUUGGCUAGGGUGCCUUCAUGAAAAAGUUUCCCCAACCUCUCUUCUAUCUUUUCCCCCAAAGAUUCGGCCCUAUACCUUGUGGGAAAACCCAAACUAAUGUCAGAGAAAUCAAUGGUUUUCUCAUCAGAAAACCUUAAAAUUCAGCCACCUCUAGUCACUUUUGGCCGUCAACUCAGGUAUAAAGAAAACCUUAAACCCAACCCGAUUAUCAUUGCAAUGUUGAUUAUGCUAGAAAUGUAAGUUUGGAAAUCUUAGGUAGAGAGAAAGAGAUGAGAGAGAGAGAGAGAGAGAGAGAGAGAGAGAGAGAGAGAGAGAGAGAGAGAGGUGUGGAGAGGAGGAGGAGAGAUAGACAUACGGAACAGGGAGGAGAGAUAGAC
rnacentral:lncRNA from 1 species